AAACCAACAGGGAUUGCCUUAGUAGCGGCGAGUGAAGCGGCAAUAGCUCAAAUUUGAAAUCUGUCACCUUCGGUGUCCGAGUUGUAAUUUGAAGAAGGUAUCUUUGGUUUUGGCUCUUGUCUAUGUUUCUUGGAACAGGACGUCACAGAGGGUGAGAAUCCCGUGCGAUGAGAUGCCCAAUUCCAUGUAAAGUUCCUUCGACGAGUCGAGUUGUUUGGGAAUGCAGCUCUAAGUGGGUGGUAAAUUCCAUCUAAAGCUAAAUAUUGGCGAGAGACCGAUAGCGAACAAGUACUGUGAAGGAAAGAUGAAAAGAACUUUGAAAAGAGAGUGAAAAAGUACGUGAAAUUGUUGAAAGGGAAGGGCUUGAGGUCAGACUUGGUUUACCAGGCCAGCAUCAGUUUGGAUGGCAGGAUAAUAACUAAGAAAAGUGGCACUGCUUCGGUGGUGUGUUAUAGUCUUGGUUGAUACUGCCUGUCUAGACUGAGGACUGCGUCUUGACUAGG
rnacentral:rRNA from 1 species